GGGUUGUGAGGUUAAGCGACUAAGCGUACACGGUGGAUGCCCUGGCAGUCAGAGGCGAUGAAGGACGUGCUAAUCUGCGAUAAGCGUCGGUGAGGUGAUAUGAACCGUUAUAACCGGCGAUUUCCGAAUGGGGAAACCCAGUGUGUUUCGACACACUAUCAUUAACUGAAUCCAUAGGUUAAUGAGGCGAACCGGGGGAACUGAAACAUCUAAGUACCCCGAGGAAAAGAAAUCAACCGAGAUUCCCCCAGUAGCGGCGAGCGAACGGGGAGGAGCCCAGAGCCUGAAUCAGUGUGUGUGUUAGUGGAAGCGUCUGGAAAGGCGUGCGAUACAGGGUGACAGCCCCGUACACAAAAAUGCACAUAUUGUGAGCUCGAUGAGUAGGGCGGGACACGUGGUAUCCUGUCUGAAUAUGGGGGGACCAUCCUCCAAGGCUAAAUACUCCUGACUGACCGAUAGUGAACCAGUACCGUGAGGGAAAGGCGAAAAGAACCCCGGCGAGGGGAGUGAAAAAGAACCUGAAACCGUGUACGUACAAGCAGUGGGAGCCUCUUAAUGGGGUGACUGCGUACCUUUUGUAUAAUGGGUCAGCGACUUAUAUUCUGUAGCAAGGUUAACCGAAUAGGGGAGCCGAAGGGAAACCGAGUCUUAACUGGGCGUUAAGUUGCAGGGUAUAGACCCGAAACCCGGUGAUCUAGCCAUGGGCAGGUUGAAGGUUGGGUAACACUAACUGGAGGACCGAACCGACUAAUGUUGAAAAAUUAGCGGAUGACUUGUGGCUGGGGGUGAAAGGCCAAUCAAACCGGGAGAUAGCUGGUUCUCCCCGAAAGCUAUUUAGGUAGCGCCUCGUGAAUUCAUCUCCGGGGGUAGAGCACUGUUUCGGCAAGGGGGUCAUCCCGACUUACCAACCCGAUGCAAACUGCGAAUACCGGAGAAUGUUAUCACGGGAGACACACGGCGGGUGCUAACGUCCGUCGUGAAGAGGGAAACAACCCAGACCGCCAGCUAAGGUCCCAAAGUCAUGGUUAAGUGGGAAACGAUGUGGGAAGGCCCAGACAGCCAGGAUGUUGGCUUAGAAGCAGCCAUCAUUUAAAGAAAGCGUAAUAGCUCACUGGUCGAGUCGGCCUGCGCGGAAGAUGUAACGGGGCUAAACCAUGCACCGAAGCUGCGGCAGCGACACUAUGUGUUGUUGGGUAGGGGAGCGUUCUGUAAGCCUGUGAAGGUGGCCUGUGAGGGUUGCUGGAGGUAUCAGAAGUGCGAAUGCUGACAUAAGUAACGAUAAAGCGGGUGAAAAGCCCGCUCGCCGGAAGACCAAGGGUUCCUGUCCAACGUUAAUCGGGGCAGGGUGAGUCGACCCCUAAGGCGAGGCCGAAAGGCGUAGUCGAUGGGAAACAGGUUAAUAUUCCUGUACUUGGUGUUACUGCGAAGGGGGGACGGAGAAGGCUAUGUUGGCCGGGCGACGGUUGUCCCGGUUUAAGCGUGUAGGCUGGUUUUCCAGGCAAAUCCGGAAAACCAAGGCUGAGGCGUGAUGACGAAGCACUACGGUGCUGAAGCGACAAAUGCCCUGCUUCCAGGAAAAGCCUCUAAGCAUCAGGUAACAUCAAAUCGUACCCCAAACCGACACAGGUGGUCAGGUAGAGAAUACCAAGGCGCUUGAGAGAACUCGGGUGAAGGAACUAGGCAAAAUGGUGCCGUAACUUCGGGAGAAGGCACGCUGAUAUGUAGGUGAAGCGACUUGCUCGUGGAGCUGAAAUCAGUCGAAGAUACCAGCUGGCUGCAACUGUUUAUUAAAAACACAGCACUGUGCAAACACGAAAGUGGACGUAUACGGUGUGACGCCUGCCCGGUGCCGGAAGGUUAAUUGAUGGGGUUAGCGGUAACGCGAAGCUCUUGAUCGAAGCCCCGGUAAACGGCGGCCGUAACUAUAACGGUCCUAAGGUAGCGAAAUUCCUUGUCGGGUAAGUUCCGACCUGCACGAAUGGCGUAAUGAUGGCCAGGCUGUCUCCACCCGAGACUCAGUGAAAUUGAACUCGCUGUGAAGAUGCAGUGUACCCGCGGCAAGACGGAAAGACCCCGUGAACCUUUACUAUAGCUUGACACUGAACAUUGAGCCUUGAUGUGUAGGAUAGGUGGGAGGCUUUGAAGUGUGGACGCCAGUCUGCAUGGAGCCGACCUUGAAAUACCACCCUUUAAUGUUUGAUGUUCUAACGUUAGCCCGUAAUCCGGGUUGCGGACAGUGUCUGGUGGGUAGUUUGACUGGGGCGGUCUCCUCCUAAAGAGUAACGGAGGAGCACGAAGGUUGGCUAAUCCUGGUCGGACAUCAGGAGGUUAGUGCAAUGGCAUAAGCCAGCUUGACUGCGAGCGUGACGGCGCGAGCAGGUGCGAAAGCAGGUCAUAGUGAUCCGGUGGUUCUGAAUGGAAGGGCCAUCGCUCAACGGAUAAAAGGUACUCCGGGGAUAACAGGCUGAUACCGCCCAAGAGUUCAUAUCGACGGCGGUGUUUGGCACCUCGAUGUCGGCUCAUCACAUCCUGGGGCUGAAGUAGGUCCCAAGGGUAUGGCUGUUCGCCAUUUAAAGUGGUACGCGAGCUGGGUUUAGAACGUCGUGAGACAGUUCGGUCCCUAUCUGCCGUGGGCGCUGGAGAACUGAGGGGGGCUGCUCCUAGUACGAGAGGACCGGAGUGGACGCAUCACUGGUGUUCGGGUUGUCAUGCCAAUGGCACUGCCCGGUAGCUAAAUGCGGAAGAGAUAAGUGCUGAAAGCAUCUAAGCACGAAACUUGCCCCGAGAUGAGUUCUCCCUGAGACUUAGAGUCUCCUGAAGGAACGUUGAAGACGACGACGUUGAUAGGCCGGGUGUGUAAGCGCAGCGAUGCGUUGAGCUAACCGGUACUAAUGAACCGUGAGGCUUAACCUUACAACGCCGAAG
rnacentral:rRNA from 1 species